CGGCGAGCGAAGCGGGAAAAGCUCAAAUUUGUAAUCUGGCGUCUUCGACGUCCGAGUUGUAAUCUCGAGAAGUGUUUUCCGUGAUAGACCGCAUACAAGUCUCUUGGAACAGAGCGUCAUAGUGGUGAGAACCCAGUACACGAUGCGGAUGCCUAUUACUUUGUGAUACACUUUCGAAGAGUCGAGUUGUUUGGGAAUGCAGCUCAAAUUGGGUGGUAAAUUCCAUCUAAAGCUAAAUAUUGGCGAGAGACCGAUAGCGAACAAGUACCGUGAGGGAAAGAUGAAAAGCACUUUGGAAAGAGAGUUAACAGUACGUGAAAUUGUUGGAAGGGAAACACAUGCAGUGAUACUUGCUAUUCGGGGCAACUCGAUUGGCAGGCCCGCAUCAGUUUUUCGGGGCGGAAAAGCAUAGAGAGAAGGUAGCAGUUUCGGCUGUGUUAUAGCUCUUUAUUGGAUUCGCCCUGGGGGACUGAGGAACGCAGCGUGC
rnacentral:rRNA from 1 species